rnacentral:tRNA from 1 species
GGGAUUAUAGCUCAGUGGUAGAGCAUGUGCUUAGUGUGCAUGAGGGCUUAGGUUCAAUCCUAAGACCUCCA